UGAGGAAUAUUGGUCAAUGGGCGGAAGCCUGAACCAGCCAUGCCGCGUGAAGGACUAAGGCCCUACGGGUCGUAAACUUCUUUAGACGCAGAGCAAUAAGGUCCACGUGUGGACCGAUGAGAGUAUGCGUAGAAUAAGCAUCGGCUAACUCCGUGCCAGCAGCCGCGGUAAUACGGGGGAUGCGAGCGUUAUCCGGAUUUAUUGGGUUUAAAGGGUGCGCAGGCGGCGCGAAAAGUCAGCGGUCAAAGUUCCGGGCUCAACCCGGUGACGCCGUUGAAACUUUCGUGCUGGAGUUCGUGCGAGGGAGGCGGAAUGCGUUGUGUAGCGGUGAAAUGCAUAGAUAUGACGCAGAACCCCGAUUGCGAAGGCAGCUUUCCAGCACGCGACUGACGCUGAGGCACG
rnacentral:rRNA from 1 species